AGUGAACGCUGGCGGUAGGCCUAACACAUGCAAGUCGAACGGCAGCACAGUAAGAGCUUGCUCUUACGGGUGGCGAGUGGCGGACGGGUGAGGAAUACAUCGGAAUCUACUUUUUCGUGGGGGAUAACGUAGGGAAACUUACGCUAAUACCGCAUACGACCUACGGGUGAAAGCAGGGGAUCUUCGGACCUUGCGCGAUUGAAUGAGCCGAUGUCGGAUUAGCUAGUUGGCGGGGUAAAGGCCCACCAAGGCGACGAUCCGUAGCUGGUCUGAGAGGAUGAUCAGCCACACUGGAACUGAGACACGGUCCAGGCUCCUACGGGAGGCAGCAGUGGGGAAUAUUGGACAAUGGGCGCAAGCCUGAUCCAGCCAUACCGCGUGGGUGAAGAAGGCCUUCGGGUUGUAAAGCCCUUUUGUUGGGAAAGAAAGGCAGCAGGUUAAUACCCCGCUGUUCUGACGGUACCCAAAGAAUAAGCACCGGCUAACUUCGUG
rnacentral:rRNA from 1 species